AGAUGAGGGGCCAGAGAUGACGGGGUAAUAGUUAGAUUAUUAUUAUUUUUCAUUUUUUUUAACCUUUAUUUAACCAGGCAAGUCAGUUAAGAACAAAUUCUUAUUUUCAAUGACGGCCUAGGAACAGUGGGUUAACUGCCUGUUCAGGGGCAGAACGACAGAUUUGUACCUUGUCAGCUCGGGGGUUUGAACUUGCAACCUUCCGGUUACUAGUCCAAUGCUCUAACCACCAGGCUACCCCGUCAUCUAACCCUUAUCCUACAAUCUAACCCUUACAAUACAAUCUAACCCUUACCCUACAAUGGGGCCCAUUGUAGGGUAAGGGUUAGAUUGUAGGGUAAGGGUUAGAUUGUAGGGUUAGAUUGUAGGGUAAGGGUUAGAUUGUAGGAUAAGGGUUAGAUUGUAGGGUUAGAUUGUAGGGCAAGGGUUAGAUUGUAAGGUAAGGGUUAGAUUGUAGGGUUAGAUUGUAAGGUAAGGGUUAGAUUGUAGGAUAAGGGGUUAGAUUAAGGGUUAGAUUGUAAGGUAAGGGUUAGAUUGUAGGGUAAGGGUUAGAUUGUAGGAUAAGGGUUAGAUUAAGGGUUAGAUUGUAGGGUAAGGGUUAUAUUGUAGGGUAAGGGUUAGAUUGUAGGGUAAGGGUUAGAUUGUAAGGUAAGGGUUAGAUUGUAGGGUAAGGGUUAGAUUGUAGGGUAAGGGUUAGAAUGUAAGGUAAGGGUUAUAUUGUAGGGUAAGGGUUAGAUUGUAAGGUAAGGGUUAUAUUGUAGGGUAAGGGUUAGAUUGUAGGGUUAGAUUGUAGGGUAAGGGUUAGAUUGUAGGGUAAGGGUUAGACUGUAGGAUAAGGGUUAGAUUAAGGGCUAGAUUGUAGGAUAAGGGUUAGAUGACGGGGUAAAGGUUAGAUUGUAGGGUAAUGGUUAGAUUAUAGGGUAAGGGUUAGAUGAUGGGAUAAGGGUUAGAUUGUAGGGUAAGGGUUAGAUUGUAGGGUAAGGGUUAGAUUGUAGGGUAAGUGUUAGAUUGUAGGGUAAGGUUUAGAUUGUAAGGUAAGGGUUAGAUUGUAAGGUAAGGGUUAGAUUGUAGGAUAAUGGUUAGAUUGUAGGGUAAGGGUUAGAUUGUAGGAUAAGGGUUAGAUUGUAGGAUAAGGGUUAGAUUAAGGGUUAGAUUGUAGGAUAAUGGUUAGAUUGUAGGGUAAGGGCUAGAUUGUAGGGUAAGGGUUAGAUUGUAGAGUAAGGGUUAGAUUAAGGGUUAGAUUGUAAGGUAAGGGUUAGAUUGUGGGGUAAGGGUUAGAUUGUAGGGUAAGGGUUAGAUUGUAGGAUAAGGGUUAGAUUGUAGGAUAAGGGUUAGAUUAAGGGUUAGAUUGUAGGGUAAGGGUUAGAUUGUAGGUUAAGGGUUAGAUUGUAGGGUAAGGGUUAGAUUGUAAGGUAAGGGUUAGAUUGUAGGAUAAGGGUUAGAUUGUAAGGUAUGGGUUAGAUUGUAGGGUAAGGGUUAGAUUGUAGGGUAAGGGUUAAAUUGUAGGGUAAGAUUGUAGGGUACGGGUUAGAUUGUAGGAUAAGGGUUAGAUUAAGGGUUAGAUUGUAGGGUAAGGGUUAGAUUGUAGGGUAAGGGUUAGAUUGUAUGAUAAGGGUUAGAUUAAGGGUUAGAUUGUAGGAUAAGGGUUAGAUUGUAGGUUAAGGUUUAGAUUGUAGGGUAAGGGUUAGAUUGUAGGAUAAGGGUUAGAUUAAGGGUUAGAUUGUAGGGUAAGGGUUAGAUGAUGGGAUAAGGGUUAGGUGAUGGGAUAAGGGUUAGGUGAUGGGAUAAGGGUUAGAUUGUAGGGUAAGGGUUAGAUGAUGGGAUAAGGGUUAGGUGAUGGGAUAAGGGUUAGGUGAUGGGAUAAGGGUUAGAUGAUGGGAUAAGGGUUAGGUGAUGGGAUAAGGGUUAGAUGAUGGGAUAAGGGUUAGAUGAUGGGAUAAGGUUUAGAUUGUAGGGUAAGGGUUAGAUGAUGGGAUAAGGGUUAGGUGAUGGGAUAAGGGUUAGGUGAUGGGAUAAGGGUUAGAUGAUGGGAUAAGGGUUAGAUGAUGGGA
ensembl:lncRNA